rnacentral:rRNA from 1 species
ACGGAAGGCAGCAGUGGGGAAUAUUACACAAUGGACGAAAGUCUGAUGGAGCCACACCGCGUGGACGAUGAAGGCCGGAAGGUUGUAAAGUCCUUUAGCAAGUGAGGAAUAAGCGGGAGAGGGAAUGCUCUCGUGGUGACUGUAGCUUGAGAAUAAGGGUCGGCUAAUUACGUGCCAGCAGCCGCGGUAACACGUAAGACCCUAGCGUUAUUCGGAAUUAUUGGGCGUAAAGGGCACGCAGGCGGUUUGGUAAGUCAGAAGUGAAAUACCGGAGCUUAACUCCGGUGCUGCUUUUGAUACUGCUGAACUUGAAUCAGUGAGGGGUGACCGGAAUUCCUAGUGUAGGGGUGAAAUCUGCAGAUAUUAGGAAGAACACCGGUGGCGAAGGCAGAUCUCGAGCACAUGAUUGACGUUCAGGUGCGAAGGUGCGGGUAGCAAACAGGAUUAGAUACCCUGGUA